rnacentral:rRNA from 1 species
UACAGAGGUCUCAAGCGUUGUUCGGAUUCAUUGGGCGUAAAGGGUGCGUAGGUGGCGCGGUAAGUCGGGUGUGAAAUUUCGGAGCUCAACUCCGAAACUGCAUUCGAUACUGCCGUGCUUGAGGACUGGAGAGGAGACUGGAAUUUACGGUGUAGCAGUGAAAUGCGUAGAUAUCGUAAGGAAGACCAGUGGCGAAGGCGGGUCUCUGGACAGUUCCUGACGCUGAGGCACGAAGGUCAGGGGAGCAAACGGG